rnacentral:rRNA from 1 species
AGUGAACGCUGGCGGUGGGCCUAACACAUGCAAGUCGAACGACAGGACAGUAAGCUUGUGCUCUUACGGGUGGCGGGGGGCGGGCGGGUAAGGCGUGAAUCCCAACCUAAUAUUUCGGGGAGAAUUACGGAAAACCGCAUACAAUACUACCGAAUAUGUUGAACGGGUGGAUGCAGUGGUUAAUGAGGGUUUGCCGGUCUGUAUUAGCGGAUUCCGGGCUGGAUUAGUUAGUUGGUAAGGUAACGGCUAACCAAGGAAACGAUGCGUAGCCGACCUGAGAGGGUGAUCGGCCAAACUGGAACUGGGACACGGUCCAGACUCCUAAGGGAGGCAGCAGUAGGGAAUCUUCGGCAAUGGGCGAAAGCCUGACGGAGCCACGCCGCGUGAGUGAUAAAGGUCUUCGGAUCGUAAAACUCUGUUAUUAGGGAAGAACAAAUGUGUAAGUAACUAUGCACGUCUUGACGGUACCUAAUCAGAAAGCCACGGCUAACUACGUG